CAAGGGGUAGGGAAACAGAGAAUUGCAGCUGUAAUUAACAAUAUUAGAAGAAUUUAAAAGAAAAUGAAUUGAAUAAUUAGUCGACUGAGGAGUUGCUGAAAAAAUAUAAAACAAGGAUGCAGAAAAGGGGAGGUAUGGGGAAGUCCGGAAAGUAAGGUUUAUGAAAAAAUGGUUAUGAAAUUAUACAUGUUUAUAUGUUUGUAUGUCGGUGUAUUGUGUAUUGUUUGUCUUUUUAUUUUGUGUUUGGAAAAUUAAUAAAAAUUUAUUUAAAAAAAAAA